rnacentral:rRNA from 1 species
UACGGAGGGUGCAAGCGUUAAUCGGAUUUACUGGGCGUAAAGCGUGCGUAGGCGGCUUAGUCAGUUGGGUGUGAAAGCCCCGGGCUCAACUCGGGAACUGCAUUCAAUACUGCUAAGCUAGAGUAUGUGAGAGGGAAGUGGAAUUUCAGGUGUAGCGGUGAAAUGCGUAGAGAUCUGAAAGAACACCGAUGGCGAAGGCA